GGGCGCAUAGCGCAGUGGUAGCGCGUCCGCUUUGCAAGCGGAAGGCCCGGGUUCAAUCCCCGGUGUGUCCA
rnacentral:tRNA from 1 species